rnacentral:lncRNA from 1 species
CGCAAGAUUAAUUUUUCUUUUUGUGACUGGGUCUGAAGUUUGUAUUUGAGAAAGGUAAGUUCAGAAAAGAAAUAAUGUAAAUGUGAUCAACGCAUUGGAUAAAAAAUCUAUCAAAAUCACAACUGAUUUCCUAAGAUUCAUAGUCUAUUUUGACAGAGAUACAUCAGUUAUUGCUUUCUUCCUCUUCCUUUUUUAAUCGGUUGUGCAUCCGUUUGUUCUUUCCCAGUGACUUCAGAAAGAUCCACUGCAGAAUUAGAGGAAUAAUUUUUGUCAUUAUCGUUAAUAACAAGAUAAGAGUGAGAACUCAGCAAGAUAAGAAAGGAAAAGAACUUAAAAGUAUCAUCAAUGUUGAUAUGGAACUGCUAUAACUUUUAAGCAUGGUGCCAAGACGCGCUAGUUUACAGUUGAAAAAGUUUCAUGUUUAACAUGCUAUUAACUCUAAGCAACAGUGGCCUAAGAAAAAAAUUAUGCACAUGUUCAGCUGAUUAAUGUCAUUACCAUGCACCGAUUAAUAAAGUUCUACUCAUUGUUCUUUCUUGUGAUUUCAGUAUUUACGAGUAGUGCUAUAGGAAAACAAUUUCAAAAUCAUUUCCCAUACAAAAUAUAUUGCUGUGCAAAUGAAUGCCAAAAUGCAUGCUAAUCAACAAAGCAUAAACAAUGACAUACCUUCUGGUCCCCGAGCCAUCAACGUAAAGAAUAUAUUAUUAAGUUUUUCCAUCUUCUUAGCUUCUUGUGCUUGGUCUGUCUUAUACUUUAGACACUGGUCAAAAACAACAACAAUCAACUUUAGGAACAUUUGUGUUAGAUGUGACUUAGAAAGCAACAGGGAGAGGGGAAUGAAAUAUUUUUUUAAAGUGCAAAUGAUAUGCUUAUGCAGAAUAUGAAUCCAUGGGAUUCACACAAGCGACAAAAAUUAUAUUCCAAACAAGACAAAUGACUCAGCAGAAAUUCUAGUCAUAGCAAAAUUUAUUGAUGGUAGGAGUCGGAUCUUUCUAAAUUAAUCACUCUAGUAUCUAAAGAAAAAAAAGCUUUGAAAUGUGAAACGUUAAAUGGCCACCUAUGAGGAUUCUCAAUUUGGUGAAGAUAACUUCAUCUAGUACGUCAGCAGGAAAAGGAACAUGUAAGAACGACCAAUGAUGUUCAACAUGUCAUCCAUCACCACUUUCCAAAGGCUAAAGGAAUAUAACUAUUUAUAGUGCAUCAAUAAACCAGGGCCACUGAAUUAAUUCCUUCAACAAUGGAGAUUCCAAGAGAGACCAUCGUGCUGUCAUCGUAUCAGGCAUAAGAUGCCAUAUGAAUAUUUAUUUAGUUUGUUGGGGUAAUUGGGUAACCUAGGGCCUAAUCCGUCUUCAAUUUAUGAAGCACAAAAUAUCUAAUCAAAAUAUUUUUCUGCUACUGUCUUAAACUAAUUUUCAAUCUUUAUCAUAGAGGUAUUGGGGUAGGCGGGGGCUGGGGGAGCCUAGAAAAUGAAAUCCUUAUACACAUGAGUCAUAACUCAUAAUUUUAUUAUUUUAAUGCUUGUAUUAACGAUUGGUGUGGAGUCAAUGGUGGCAGGGAUCGUUGUGUCGUGGGAAAAGGAAACAGAGUGUAUAGACUCAAUAGAAUCUGUAAACAAAAAACAGGAAAAUUGGGCCAGUGAUACAGAAGUAAUCGAUAUGGAAGGGGAUUCGGUUAGGGUUACAAUUUCACUGUUGUGGGAGAAUUGAAUCCAUGGGACGUAUAAUCGGGACAUAAACCCACCCAAAGUUUGUAACCAUUGACCACCCAAAACUACAUCAGCACCAUGUAUGGGAGAACCAGAGAACAUAGAAGGGAAUGAGAAAAAGCUCAUGAUCCAGCGUUAGGGGAACAAUAGGGCAGCUGCUGUCAUGAUGGAUAGAAUCCCAUAGCCCGCCAAUACCAAAAAAUGGAGUAAUAGCUACCACAGCUAAACCCAGAAAAACAACAAUACAUGGUUGAAUAAUUUUAUGGGAACUAUCAAAGUCGAUGAGAAUGGUAACUGUUAGUUCACAAGUUAACACUUGGAGACGUAUGGCGCAUGGUGAGCGGGAGCCACUCAAAGCCACAUUCGAAAGAUGGAAAUGGGCAGCAUCUGUAAGGGAGUCUACAGUUGCUGUGAAGAGGGUAAGUUAGGAGGAACCGGAUCUGCUGGUUAAGAGUCCGGGUCAAGUUGACAACGUCCUCAUAGACAUAGUCGUCAGUCAAAACAAUCAUAAAUUGUUUCUCCUUAUAGUUGUGAGGUGACCACUGACCAGGCCCAAACUUAACAUCGCAAUUAAAACAAAGGCCACAAGCAUGAAGCUCUUGCAUUUCCUUUGGGUAUGUAUAGUUUGCGUAUAGGUAGUGCAGAGGGUGUGGGUGGCAGUCCUAGCACCAAAGAAGAGGGUGCAAGGGAACGGGGUGGCCAUGGGAAACGGUUGAAAGGUGGUAUAGCUACUGCCAAUUUUUCUUCAACUAACUUAGCCAACCCAAUAGCAUUAGCCAGGUUAUAAUGUUUGAGCAUCAUGAGUUCAUUAUGAAUGCCAUUAUUCCUUAAACUGGAAAUGAAACAGUAGAGGAGGGCCUCUGGUGGAAGGCCAAGCAUGCAGUUAAAAAUGUUUUCAAAUUGGGCUUGAUACUCCAUGACUGUGCCUGUCUAGUGCAACUUGAAAAGAGUGGCAUGGUGAUUUUCAUAGGUUGAGGGUGCAAAUCUCAUUUGCAAAUGCAUGACUAAAAACAUCUCAAGUGGAGACCUGGUGAUAGAGUGCAUCCAUUUGUGCCAAGCAAGGGCCUUGCAUGAAAAAAGGAAAGGAAAAAAAGGGCAGCCCAGUCCACUAAAGCUCCCGCAUACGCAGGGUCCGGAACCCACCAUUUGAUGUGCUGUACGCAGCCUUACCAUGUUUUUACACAAGAGGUUGUUUCCAGGACUUGAACCUGUGACCUUUCAGUCACGUGACAUUGACUGGAUAGAGUUUGAGAUAAUUCAGAGUAUUGCUCAAUCAGGAAAAUCCAACCAAGAGGAUUGGAACCAUCAAAUGGUGAUGGUUUUAUUUUUGGGGUUUUUGGGAUGGUAGUGUUUACCGCUGCUGGGCUGAUCAGUAACAAGUUUAUGUGCUUAUAUAAGUCACUAGUUAGCAGUUCUUUCAUUUGCCUCAUACAAGCAUUGAUGAUAUCUUCAGUUUUGAUUUUAGGUUUGGGAGGCAUAGUGGGGAAAAUUAAUGCCCCAAAUGAUACAACUCAAAGUUAUCAACGGCAAACUAAUGAAGAAAAACUGUAAAUAAAUGUCCCAAUUUCAAGCCAUAGAUCACUCAACAGAGUUAGGGAAGAAGGAUUUAAUUCUUGCUUGUUUAUUCACUGUAGGUUUGUAGCUACUACAAUAAAAAAUAGUGCUCAUGCACUCCCAAGAAAUAAGGAUCUCUUGACACCUGUAUCGUGCAGUAACAAGAACAAUUUGACAAUCAUAACUGGAAGGAAACUAAUAUUGAGCCACAAAAGAAAGGAAAAUAACUGCCUAGUGCUAGUCACAGUUUAUGAAUAAGAUCGCUUGGGCUUUAAAUAUAGUCAUGCAUCCAAUGGGCUUCUUAGCAACCCUCUGAGUCACAGCAACCGACCCAGUUGGCCCAGAAGUAUCACUUGUUUGUGUCUAGGUUUGGGUUGAAGAAUACAUCACCAAGCCCAUGCAAAAUACUUAACCAGUUUAACAAUUGCCUAAUGACCCUAUGUAACAUAAAUUAAACAAAUAUGUGGUUUUAACUUGCAUGCAAUGAUGUGAUAUCAUGACAACUCUGAAGUUUGAAAAAUGAAUAAAUAAAUCAGCCAUGCUUGUGGCCAAAUUGGCACCCCACAAAUGCUAUGACUUUCAUGUGUCCACAUUAAGGAUUACUUCACCAUAAACAAAUGAAAGCAUCCCACAUUGUACAGGAAUGUUGUUUUUGGCUUUCGGUAACUGGAUGUUAUCCUGUGUAUUUAAACACUUAACAAUUCACCCAAGAAUACAGGGAAUAUCGUCAAUCAACAAUAUCUUUAUAGCAAUCGCUAUGCUAGAUGAAUAAUAUGGAUUGUAUAAACAGAUGACACAAUUCCUCAACUGCAGCAUACAUAAAUUGAAACUAUAACGAAGAGAAAGUUAUCUGAUAUCAUUUACGAAAAUGAAAAGGAGUGUAUAUAUAGAACUAUUAACAAUUACAGCAUGCAUAAAAGUUUACAAAUGAUAUAUAAGUUAUUUGUUAAGUCAAACCUUCAACUCAUUGUUUUUGCGGCAGGGUGGAGAAGAAACUACAAGUACUAGCCAACAAUCAUAUUGAUGGGUAUCCUUAAGGCUCUGUUUGGCUCAAACAAAGGGAAGGAAAUCACAUCUUGUUUCGCUUACAAGGGAGAAAUUUCAAUAGAGGAAAUGUAUAACAAUCUUAUUAUACCCUUAUAAUUUUCUAUAUUGCAUUUUUUGUAAGGAUAUUUUAGUGAAUACAUUUAAAUUUUCAAAACUCAUUCUCCUAAAAAUCUCUCCAAUAUGCAAGCGAAGCCAAAAUCAACUUGGGUGUGUUUUUCCUCCCCUUCAUUUACCCCCAACCAAGUUUCAAGUAAAGGCUCUAUUAAACAUCACAAAGAGCAACCACAAUUUGGAAUAUUCAAACCAGUUUAAUAUUUAUCUGUUUAUACCCUAAAAAGCCAUCACAUUCAUCAACAAAAAAAGCUAUAUCAUAGAAUUAACUUGUCUUGGUUUGUGUUCUUCCAAGUUCCAAAAAUUUGAACACAUACUAUACGACAAGCAUGUAUCUAAUCAUUUAACAACAAAACCCAACACAUGUUCAUCAAUUAAUUACAACAACAACAACAACAACAACAACAACCAAGCAUUAUCCCACUAAGUGGGGUCAGCUACACAGAUCAAAUUACGCCAUAACGUUAUAUCAUAAACCAUAUUUCAAUCUAACUCAUAAAUCUCUAGAUCUUUCUUAUCUCUACCUCUAGUGGUUUGAUUACUCUCCAUCUGAUCUACUCUCCUGACAAAAAUAAUCUACAUGUCCAAACCAUCUAAGCCUAUUUUCUACCGGUCUUCUCUCUAGUGUUUAAUAAUAAUCGACCAUAGUUUAAAAUAAUAAUUCAUAAUGACAAUAAUUAAAUAAUCAAUCUAACAUAAGGAGGAUACAUUCACUCCUUAAACAAACAGAAAGUAAAUAGAUACAAUUAUAAGAAAUAAAAUUAGUACCUGUCGAUUAUCAGUGACCUUUAGCACCAAUUUUCCAUCACAAUGUCUAUACUUCAUGACAUACCGCGU